rnacentral:lncRNA from 1 species
GUCUGUCUGGCCUCAUCUGUGCAUGGGCUCUGAGCCGCUCCGCUCCUGACAGUUCGGAAUUCUCUUCCUCUCUCCCUGCUGCAAAGAGCGGAUUUCUCUCCGUGUCUCUUCUGUCAUCUCCAGCUCCCCUCUCCAAGGACGCACCUUGAUUUAUGGUAGCUUUGGACUUCCUUCAGCGUCUGCCUGUCCUUGACUUCUAGAAUGGAAGAAGCUGAGCUGGUGAAGGGAAGACUCCAGGCCAUCACUGUAAGUCUACAUAGAGUUUUAAGUCAGUAAGGUGGUUGCUUAGACAAACGGCACCGGCACCGGCACCGGCACCGGCACCGGCACCGGCACCGGCACAGGCGACGUUGCUAGCUGUCCUUGUCUCCCAGGCCUUCCAAGUAGAGAAACAGAACUAAGCCUUCGUGGACUCUGGUCUGCUUCUCUUAACCCUUGUGACCCUCCAUGACACUGGGGCUUCAGAACCUGAGAUCCAGGGAAAUGGUUCUGGAAUUUACAGAUGGUGUUUGCAUUCUAAACGAUAAUCAAGGGUUGUUUGCUUGUUUGCUUGUUUUUAUAAAUAGUUUGUAAACUCUCCUCACCUUCUGUGGAUAUCUGAAGUUUAGGGUUUUUUCUUCAAAUUCCUUCUAUCGGACAAAUGUUCUUAUAGAUGCCUAACUGGAAAACUUUUCAAAGCAAUGAAUAGAACCCCCAAAAGUUUUUUUUUAAAGAGGUAGAUCAAAAGGAAGAAAAUCGGAAACAUUUUUAUUCAUGUGUCAAAGUAUAUUCCAGACAAACCUAACUGAAUUAAAGCAAAGCUUGGUGUAUGUAUGUAUGCAUAUAUAUAUAUGCGAAGUAUUAAAACAGAAGAAAAGUAGCGAAGGCACGCAUCAGAGUAAUUCUCGCAGAUCAGUUUUCCAGUACAGAAGGACAGACAUAGUCCGAAUAAGGUCUCAAUACAGGAGCCAUGCACAAGAUGGACUUGGAAAAUAUUUCCCUAAUUCCGGGAAGAAAAGUAGUACACUUGAUGUUUGUUCUGGGGAAAAAAAAAAUCAAAGCAAGAAAUGAGUCACUUUUCUUAAAUGAUACCAUUCUUUUUCUCAUUUGCUUCCAAACUGCUGUAUGUGACGAUAACCUGGAAGUCCCUGACCUGGUCAUCUAUCGUUAUUAGCUGUAACUUUUGAUAGCAUUUUUGCAAGGAAAAGCAACUUGGCAAAUCCACACCCCUGUGCGUCACAUUUUCUGACACUGAAAUUAACCGUCAAAAAAGAAGUAACUACUUUCUGAAAAACUGACACUAAAUCAAGGUAGAUAGGAGGUUAUCCAACUCUUUGCUCCUCAAAUUCUCACAAUUAAUUAAGCAAAUCCUAAUUUAGGUUUUGUUGUGCAUACACACACACACACACACACACACACACACACACACACACUAAGGGAAUAUAGCGGGGGUUUUUUCCCUCCUACCCAGAAAGGAUAAAUAAAAACCUACUUUCUUCACCAGUGAAAAGGAGCCAAGAGUCCACUAAGCAGCCUGGGCACCUUUCUAUAGAGAGUACUUUUUAAUUUCUGAAUUCUAAUUACUGUAUUUUUUCCUUUCAUCUUAAAAACCUUGGCCUGGAUUUUUGUUUGUUUUGUUUUGUUGUUAAAUCCGGCCACAGCUUCAGCUGUCCUCCUAGAAGGGACAGGAACUCCACUGUGCUCUGUUGUUCUUGGCAUGGCCCUUUCACAUUACAGCUGUUGGCUAAAGGUUACUUCACUGGGCCGUGUGAGUCGCUCACAACUAGGUUCCAUUUCUCCCCACGGCUUUACCUCCCGGAUAACCAAAUGAAACAGUUGACUCGGUGAUGCACACAGACACCUUCUUCUGUGUCUCUGCUACUGAACUGGGGAACAUCUUAUUUUAAGGUCUUGCUAAGUGUGGUUUGCAGCUUAGAGCAUUUAGUGAACUAGGGCAUGGUCCAAGUAGAUGGCGGCUGAGAGUUAUUCAGAAAGCCAAGGAAUUUUCACUGAGGCUUCAGGUGCAAUUAGAUAUAGAAGAUCAAAAUGCCUUAAAAGGAAUUGAGUAGGUAGGCAGGUUCCUGAAUAUAGAGAUACUUUCACUGUUAAAAUUAAUAAACUUUUAAAAAUUAUCCCACGAGCCCAAACAUAUCCCUUUAGAGUUAAUUAAGUCUUGGAGGUACAGUCACAAAACUUAGCUUGAAAGUAAAAUUCUUGCUUAAAGCCUGUAGGGUAAAAACUGGCAAAAGUUUAUAGGAACGAAUUUCCAUAAGCCUGCACCUCACAGGGCUCAGUCACAUUUGUCACCACCUAGAGGGGAAAUGGAGUAGUUCCUCCGUGUCCAUGGAAACAAUACAACCACUCUCCUCCUGCACACCCUGGGAAAUGCCAGCUUACUCCGCCCUGGCCUUGCCCAGGAAGCCACCCCUGCUAUUCUUUCUUCCUAGGAAAAGAAAACACACCGUACCCAGGGAACUUUCAAGAGUUAUCUCAUUUUUUGAAAGGCAUUAAAAUUACAAAAACUCAGAGAUAAUCUUUUAACUGCUCUCCUACACUGAAAUAAUUUUUAUAUAUGUCCAUGACGGCAAAGAUGUUAAUUCCCUAAGACACCAAGACUCAACAACACAGAGACUUCACUGUAAAAGGACAAGAACAACAAACAUUAACACUGCAAGAGCUGUUUGAUUUUUUUAUUAUUAUUAAAUUAUGAUUCUCUAACUUUUGGCAGUAAAAUGAAAUAAGCUGUAAAUAUUGUUCUUACUCCACAGGGUCUCAAGUAACUAAAAAGGUGUUCUUUUAACU